CCUACGGGAGGCAGCAGUAGGGAAUCUUCCACAAUGGGCGAAAGCCUGAUGGAGCAACGCCGCGUGGGUGAAGAAGGUCUUCGGAUCGUAAAACCCUGUUGUUAGAGAAGAAGGUGCGUGGGAGUAAAUGUUCACGUAUCGACGGUAUCUGACGAGGAAGCCCCGGCUAACUACGUGGCAGCAGCCGCGGUAAUACGUAGGUGGCAAGCGUUAUCCGGAUUUAUUGGGCGUAAAGGGAACGCAGGCGGUCUGUGAAGUCUGAUGUGAAAGCCUUCGGCUUAAACGGAGAAGUGCAUUCGAAACUGGGAGACUUGAGUGCAGAAGAGGAGAGUAGAAAUCCAGGUGUAGCGGUGAAAUGCGUAGAGAUAUGGAAGAACACCAGUGGCGAAAGCGGCUCUCUGGGCUGUAACUGACGCUGAGGUUCGAAAGCGUGGGUAGCAAACAGGAUUAGAUACCCGGGUAGUC
rnacentral:rRNA from 1 species